rnacentral:rRNA from 1 species
UACGGGGGGGGUAAGCGUUGUUCGGAAUUACUGGGCGUAAAGGGCUCGUAGGCGGCCAACUAAGUCAGACGUGAAAUCCCUCAGCUUAACUGGGGAACUGCGUCUGAUACUGGAUGGCUUGGAUUCGGGAGAGGAAUGCGGAAUUCCAGGUGUAGCGGUGAAAUGCGCAGAUAUCAGGAGGAACACCGGUGGCGAAGGCGGGUCUCUGGGCCGAUACUGACGCUGAGGAGCGAAAGCGUGGGGAGCGAAACAGGAUUAGAACCUACGUA